GACGAACGCUGGCGGCGUGCCUAAUACAUGCAAGUCGAACGCAGUGGGGACGGGUGAGUAACACGUGGGUAACCUCCCAUCAGAGGGGAUAACACUUGGAAACAGGUGCUAAACCGAUACUGAUGGAUGGACCCGCGGUGCAUUUGCUAGUUGGUGAGGUAACGGCACACCAAGGCCACGAGGCAUAGCCGCCCCUAGAGGUGGAUGGGGCACACGGGGACUGAGACACGGCCCAGACUUCUACGGGAGGGAGCAGUAGGGAAUCUUCGGAAAUGGACGAAAGUCUGACCGAGCAACGCCGCGUUAGUGAAGAAGGUUUUCGGAUCGUAAAACUCUGUUAAUCGGGACGCGGUACCGGAAUAGAAAGCCACGGCUAACUACGUGCCAGCAGCCGCGGUAAUUC
rnacentral:rRNA from 1 species